rnacentral:rRNA from 1 species
GGGGGGGGGGGGGGGGGGGGGGGGGGGGUGGGGGUGGGAGGGGACGGGCGGGGCGGGGGGCGAACGGGUGGGUGGCGCGGGGUGACGUGCCGUUGGUUGCGGAAUAAGUGCGGGAAGGGGGUGCUCGUGCGGGAUAAUGUAUUCGUACCACAGAUUUAUCGCCUUUGGAUGGGCCCGCGUUGGAUUAGUGAGAUGGUAGGGUAAAAGCCUACCAAUGCGACGGUCCAUAGCUGGUCUGAGAGGAUGAUCAGCCACACUGGGACUGAGACACGGCCCAGACUCCUACGGGAGGCAGCAGUGGGGAAUAUUGGACAAUGGGCGAAAGCAUGAUCCAGCAAUGCCGCGUGAGUGAUGAAGGCCUUAGGGUUGUAAAGCUCUUUUACCCGGGAUGAUAAUGACAGUACCGGGAGAAUAAGCGCCGGCUAACUCCGUG